rnacentral:tRNA from 1 species
GGUCUCGUGGUGUAGUGGUUAGCACUCAGGACUUUGAAUCCUGCGACGGGAGU